rnacentral:rRNA from 1 species
UACGAAGGGGGCUAGCGUUGUUCGGAAUCACUGGGCGUAAAGGGCGCGUAGGCGGCUUUAUAAGUCGGGGGUGAAGCCUGUGGCUCAACCACAGAAUUGCCUUCGAUACUGUAGAGCUUGAGACCGGAAGAGGUAAGUGGAACUGCGAGUGUAGAGGUGAAAUUCGUAGAUAUUCGCAAGAACACCAGUGGCGAAGGCGGCUCACUGGCCCGGUACUGACGCUGAGGUGCGAAAGCGUGGGGAGCAAACAGG